GAUGAACGCUGGCGGCGUGCUUAACACAUGCAAGUCGAACGAUGAAGCCCAGCUUGCUGGGUGGAUUAGUGGCGAACGGGUGAGUAACACGUGAGUAACCUGCCCUUAACUCUGGGAUAAGCCUGGGAAACUGGGUCUAAUACCGGAUAGGAGCGUCCACCGCAUGGUGGGUGUUGGAAAGAUUUAUCGGUUUUGGAUGGACUCGCGGCCUAUCAGCUUGUUGGUGAGGUAAUGGCUCACCAAGGCGACGACGGGUAGCCGGCCUGAGAGGGUGACCGGCCACACGGGGACUGAGACACGGCCCAGACUCCUACGGGAGGCAGCAGUGGGGAAUAUUGCACAAUGGGCGCAAGCCUGAUGCAGCGACGCCGCGUGAGGGAUGACGGCCUUCGGGUUGUAAACCUCUUUCAGUAGGGAAGAAGCGAAAGUGACGGUACCUGCAGAAGAAGCACCGGCUAACUACGUG
rnacentral:rRNA from 1 species